UAUUGUGUUUGUUUUCUUUCUUCUAUUCCAAUGACUUGUUCAAAUUUAAUUCAUAAAAAUAAAUUGGAUAAGUGUAGUAAUUUAUAACAUUGUGAUAAACCUAUUUAUGUAAUUUCCAACCAGGAGAGAGAGUGAACAUUUGUGUUGGAGCGGAGAAUAAUCUUUGUGUCAUAGUUUUAAUAGGACACCAAUAUUUUUCUAGUGAUAUUGACAUAAACCAGUGUCCAUUUAUUAUUGAUAGGUUAUCAUAAUGAAUAGCAUUUUAAAUUUUGAUAAAUAGAGGGAUAUCUGUCAAGAUAUGUGAUGUUGAAAAUGCUACGGUUAACUGGUCAUGAAUAUUUUAUUUAUAUUUUAUUAUUUAUUGAACCAAUAUUUGGGGAAAGAGCAUGCGAUGUGUCGGACGCAAGGGUUUCCGAUUGUUCCGACACUGAAGUUUGUAAUGAUAAAAAAUGUGUCUGCUUGCCUGAGUUAACCCGCUUAAAUGAAACUUACUGUGUAAAAAAUAAGUCAUCACCUAAUUAUUCUAGUUUAGUAUACAAUGAUGGUAAUGGAUCAUUGGUAGCUGGAAUAGUUAUACCCUUCUGUCUCAUUUUACUUGUGAUAUCUGCUGUGUAUAUUAGUAAGAAGUAUAAUAUUUUCGACUGGAUAAGGCAAAAAGUUUACCAAAGAAAUAAUAAUUAUGAUGAAUUUAUGAUUGGUCAAGAUAUUGAUGAUGAUGAUCCCCCAAUUGCAUAAUACAUAUCUAAAUAAAAGAUAAUUUUUAAUUUAAUUUAAACCAACUUUCUAUAUUACGUUAUCCCUACAUUAUUCAUGUUCUAUUUGGUAUUUGUUCUAUUGUAAGUUUUGAUUUGUAGAUCAGAACUUGCAGAUACAUAAACACAUUGGGGGAAUUGACUGAUGGUCAUUAUAAUAUUACAAAUAAUAAUUAUAUUUAUAUAUGCAUAAAUAUGUGUAUAAAAUUAAUGACGCAUUUGUAGUCCUUAUAAUUUUGCCUAAAUAUAGGACAACACUGGCUUUUGCUGUGUUUAAUGUCGAAUCAAUUUUGAAAUCCAUUAUAUAUAUAAAAGUAUUUUAAUGCUGCAUAUAUAAAAUGUCUUUUUUUAUAUUUUACUAUUACUAUGUUUCUUAAGUGAAAUUAUUUGUUUUCACAGUAAUUUUAUUGCAUUACAUGUACAUACCAAAGGUAUUUAAAUAUAGCAAUUAUUAAAUAUUAUUUAUUA